rnacentral:rRNA from 1 species
UACGUAGGGUGCAAGCGUUAAUCGGAAUUACUGGGCGUAAAGCGUGCGCAGGCGGUUGUGCAAGACCGAUGUGAAAUCCCCGGGCUUAACCUGGGAAUGGCAUUGGUGACUGCACGGCUAGAGUGUGUCAGAGGGGGGUAGAAUUCCACGUGUAGCAGUGAAAUGCGUAGAGAUGUGGAGGAAUACCGAUGGCGAAGGCAGCCCCCUGGGAUAACACUGACGCUCAUGCACGAAAGCGUGGGGAGCAAACGGG